rnacentral:misc_RNA from 1 species
CAACACGGCUUACACGAACUCUGCUAGACACCACACCUCCCCCACUCGCACGCCCAUACGAGCCGCGUUUGUAGCACCAUAGCUGCAGCGAUGGACGCACGUGCCAGCAUGCGUGCGAUAUUGGAGAGCGCGCGGCAGUCGAUCCGCAAUCGUGCCGCCAAUCCCACCGGCAAGACUGUCCUGAAGAAGGGGCGGACUCUUGAGGAUUCGGCGUCGUCCAGCCGCCACCCCCAACCCACUGUGCAGCCGACGCCCUCCUCCCCCGCCUUGGACGUUGCAGAGGGGCUUCACUUUCAGAAGGAUACGGCUAGUGAUGCGGAUGCGGCCACGGCGGAGGCGACUGCGCUGCAUGCAAAGGAAAAUCAAAUGCGGUUCGUGCGGCACUACCAUCGCCUGCUGCUCGCCUUCAUCGAGGACAAGUCCAAGUACGAGCUGGAGCUGCCGAACCUCUCCUCACUGGACCGUAUGGUUGUCCACGCCUUGGCGGAGAAGUGCAAUCUGUCACACGAGUCCACCGGCGACCGCGCAGAUCGCGUGAUGCACCUCAAGAAGGAUAUUUUGUUCUUCCAGAACCCCGAGGCGGCGAAGCAGGUGAACCUCGACGACAUCAUUGAGCGAGUUUCGUGGAAGGAGAGCAAGUUCCAGAUUCGCUACGUACGGUCGGCGAACCCAGCACAGGUUGCAAUCGGUGACAUCGGAAGCUACGCUGACGAGGACGCUCUCGAGAAGAUCGAGCGGUUUCGCCGUGCCACCGACGAGUACCGACACGCCACGGACAUGGGCUACACCCAACAGGAGCUGCUGCUGGCCGAGGCCGGUAUCAAGGGUGAAGGCGCUGACGCCGCGGACGGGGAGGGCUAUGCGGUCUCUGGGAGACUGGAGGAGAUCUUGAGCCGACCAGACACGUCCUCUACCCCGGCCAUUACGACGGGGCCAGUGCCCGCGGUGACCUCAUCUCCGCCUCCGCCACUGUCGUCAUCGACGUCCACGAUUGCGGCUGCAAUGGCGCGGUCCAAGGCAACGGCGGCGGCCAAUGCUGCUAAAGAGGCCGCGACCGCAACGACGAUUUACUACGAUGAGGUGUGCCGAACGUGCGGCUCACGAGCGCGGCUGGGUGGAUCACCGCAAGGAUGGAGGUGCAGCCACUACUGCGCGCAUUGCACCCGUCAGUCCAUUUGGUGCUUGGAGGAAGUGCCGAUCAAGGGGGAACCGGCGAAGCACCACAAGCGAAGGCGCGACAGGGCGUCGUCGGCCGAGGAUGGAGGCGAGAGUGGCCGCCGGCGGCGUGGCGAGCCGGCCGUGGAGGAGAUCGAUCGCGAGGAGGGUGAGGACGACGACGCUGUCCGGCACUCCGGCUCGCGAAGUCGCGGCAGCAGCGGUGAAGAGGACGCGGACGAGGCCCUCACUUCGGAGGACGUGGUGGAGAUGGCGGCGACGAAUGACUUUAGUGCCAAGGACAUGAACUGGUUGCGCGAGUUUGCCUCACGUGGGACGGCACAUGUGGCUGACCAGAUCGCCUUCUGCAUCGACUUUGGUGACCUUACCGAGGCACGCGUGUUCCGCCGCUACGGCGGCGCAGCGGCACCGUCGGAGGAUGCAUGCUGGUAUGUUGUUCUUCGUGAAGUACGAGAGCUGUCCUUGACGGUGUCGGACCUCGUGCGGGAGCUGUUGAACGAGACCUUCGUGGACCUGUCGUCGGCUGCUGCACAAGAUGGCGACGAGAGAACCACAUCGGCUCCCGCAGUGGAGGCCAUUCACACGGAGGAAGCGGAGGAGCGCGCGAUGGACCACCUCGGCAUCGCCUUUCCGAACCUCUCCGUGUACGGCACCGACUGCGUGGCGGUGUGCCAGCUACGUCCUGCCGUGCGAUGGGCCUCCGUGCCCCGGCUGCCCAUUCGUGAGGAGGCCCUUCAUCACCUGCGGCAGCGCUACGGCGCACGGCACGUGUUCCCGACGCAGUCGCUCGAGGAGGCGGUGCGACGCGCUGCCGAGUCUGAUUCGCCCUCCUCCUGAACAGGAGGGACGCGUUUGCUUUCGAAGCACCUGCUGAUGGACUCGUCGUUCUUCUCACUCUUCGCCACUCGCACUCGAAAUUCAG